rnacentral:rRNA from 1 species
GUUAGCGGCGGGCUUAAACAUGCAGUCGAGCGAGAAAGGGGCUUCGGCCCUGAGUAAAGCGGCGGACGGGUGAGUAACACGUAGGUAAUCUUCCCUUGAGCGGGGGACAACGGUCCGAAAGGACCGCUAAUACCGCAUACGUUUCCAGAGGCCCCGGUCUUUGGAAGGAAAGCUAGGCCGCAAGGUCCGGCACUCGAGGAGGAGCCUGCGUCGCAUCAGCUAGUUGGUGGGGUAAUGGCCUACCAAGGCGAAGACGCGUAGCUGGUCUGAGAGGAUGAUCAGCCACACUGGGACUGAGACACGGCCCAGACUCCUACGGGAGGCAGCAGUGGGGAAUAUUGGACAAUGGGCGCAAGCCUGAUCCAGCCACGCCGCGUGAGUGAUGAAGGCCUUCGGGUCGUAAAGCUCUGUGGGGAGGGACGAACCGNUGNAUGU